UUACGGCCAUAUCACGUUGAAACACCGAUUCCCGUACGAUCACCAAAGUUAAGUAACAUCGAUCCUGGUCAGUACCUAGAUGAGUGACCGCUUGGGAAUACCAGGA